ACCAUUCAAACAAAGCAGUCAAUCGGCUAUUGAAAGUAAGAUUUACAUUUAAACAAACGUUCAAUGAAAAAUAAAAACUUUGUACUUCCUAGGAUUGUUACUUUUUCUGAGAGGAAAUUCAGAGGAACAAUAGGAUACAUAUGAACCCAAGGCUGUAAAUGAUUACUACUGGUUUGUCUGAAGUUAUUGUACAAGGUUGCUGAUUUUUGUGUGCAGAAAGUUACUAAUAACAUAAGAUUCAACGUGAUAGAUUAAAUAGUGUUUGAAUAAGAACUCCAGAAGAAUGGAUAACAAAGAACCCGAGCCAGAUUACCUACCCAGAGACGUACAGAGGUGUUUGAAUAAGAACUCCAGAAGAAUGGAUAACAAAGAACCCGAGCCAGAUUACCUACCCAGAGACGUACAGAGGAACAAGAACUGUAAUUUUUCAGGAGGACAAAAUGUAGUUUGCUUUCAUACUUCAGCAACACAAAACAGAUAUAUCAAAGAAGCACAAAACCUGGGUAGCAUUCAUGAUGAAUUAUCAUAUACUGACAAUAUUUCUACUGAUGAUAUGAACAAUUGGGUUAAAUGGCGGGAAAUUGCAAAUGAACAAUUAGCAGUAUUGAUUCGUGCAUCACCUUCGUCAGACAAAAGUUUGACAAGACCUCCAUUGGAGAAAAACGUUUUAACGAAUAUCGAAACUCAUUUUAAGAAAUGUUAUCCUUCACUUUCUGGUCAUCUCUCUAGUAAGCAAUUUGUAAUGUUUGGUAUACCACGAGCAAAGUUAUUCAUUUUACGUUAAAAUAUAAACUUAGGACUAAGAGGUUAAUUAAAAAAACAAAUUUUGUACCAAACAUUUUCCUUGGCUUUUCAUUGAAUUCCUUUUACAAAUAAAAGGUAAAUUGUUGUACAAAUUAUAAAGCUCUUCAAUACACCAAGUUAUAGAGUGUUUCUUUUGUUCUUUAUCAUAGUAAAUUAUCCUAAAAUCUAUCUGUAUGCAACAACUAAGUUUUUUCCAGCUCACAGACCUACUCGUUGUCACGAAGGACGUUUUAAUAUAUUUGUUCUCUAUAGUUUAUAUCAAAACAACGUGCCAAGGUCGAUACAUUCAAAAGUCGCCGUGUGAAUCUUACAGUGUUAUAUGUCCACUUUUGAUAAAAAUAAAGAUAGCUAUGUAUUUGAUAUUCAAAUGCAAUGGUCUAUCUCCCUAUACAACUAUAAUACGAGAUGUCUACACUCUACAAGAUUUGUCAGAACUGCACUGUUCUAUCUCCACACUCUCAUUGGAUUAUAGCUUAUUCAUCUUGUUAGUUCACAGAAAAAAUAUUUGUUUAGUGUUGUAACUCCACUAUUUUUCAGGUAUUUUUCCUGUAAAAUUAUUCUUUGUAGUACUAUGCUUAAAGUGUUUGCACGAUUUGAUCUCAAUCUAUGAACAAUUCUUAGAAAAUCCAGAACAGCAGUCCAGAAUUGGGGAUAUUACACAGUUAAAAAAUCCAUGGUGUAUCUCUUAGAGAAACAUAGGGAUAAAUUUCUAAAACAACAUUGUUUGUAGUGAAUUGUUCUAUCUCCAGAAAAAGGGAUGCUUUAUUUAUCUAAGCUGCUUGUCUAUUAAAAACAUCCAAUUGAACAAAUAAUUUCUCUUCAUGUACGUAAAUUCAAUCCAAUUAUAACUUUUUAUGCGUCAGUCAAAUAUUUAUGAUAUUGCGCUUUUAAACUUUAAUUUUGAUUUAUACCACUAUUACCAAAUUGGGAAUUCAUGAUUAUAAGAUUCACACGACGAAAUGUGAAUUUUUGCUGUGUUUCGUUAAAUUGUGUUGGUAUUUUUACUUAAACUUAUGUGUUUUAGCUUUACAAUUUGACAUAUACAUUUACAAAAUAUUGACGUGUUAAAAUUACUAUGCAUAUAGAUGUACCGAAUAUAGGCGUGUUAAAAUUCCUAUGGCAUAUACUUGAAAAUGUACGGAAAAGUUGCGUGUUCCUGUGACAUAUACAUGUACGGAAUAAAGACGUGUCACUGUGACAUAUAGUCAGUAUUAGAGAACCACAAAAUGAAUAAAUGAAUAGUAUGUAUAUUAGUUAUUUGUUUCCAUAGCAACAUUAUAAACUUAUUUUACACCAUUCUCCUAUAAAAUGUUGUUUUCAUAUGCUAUAUUUAGAGAACAAUGAUAAAUUAUAUGACAACAC